rnacentral:rRNA from 1 species
AUUGAAUGCUGGCGGCAUGCCUUACACAUGCCAGUCGAACGGUAACGGGCCUUCGGGUGCCGACGAGUGGCGCACGGGUGAGUAAUACAUCGGAACGUGCCCGAUCGUGGGGGAUAACGAGGCGAAAGCUUUGCUAAUACCGCAUACGAUCUACGGAUGAAAGCAGGGGACCGCAAGGCCUUGCGCGGACGGAGCGGCCGAUGGCAGAUUAGGUAGUUGGUGGGAUAAAAGCUUACCAAGCCGACGAUCUGUAGCUGGUCUGAGAGGAUGAUCAGCCACACUGGGACUGAGACACGGCCCAGACUCCUACGGGAGGCAGCAGUGGGGAAUUUUGGACAAUGGGCGCAAGCCUGAUCCAGCCAUGCCGCGUGCAGGAUGAAGGCCUUCGGGUUGUAAACUGCUUUUGUACGGAACGAAAAGCCUUCUUUUAAUACAGGAGGGUCAUGACGGUACCGUAAGAAUAAGCACCGGCUAACUACGUG